rnacentral:rRNA from 1 species
CGAAGCGUGCGAUUGGAUUGCACGUCUAAGCAGUAAGGCUGAGUAUUAGGCAAAUCCGGUACUCAUUAAGGCUGAGCUGUGAUGGGGAGAAGACAUUGUGUCUUCGAGUCGUUGAUUUCACACUGCCGAGAAAAGCCUCUAGAUAGAAAAUAGGUGCCCGUACCGCAAACCGACACAGGUAGUCAAGAUGAGAAUUCUAAGGUGAGCGAGCGAACUCUCGUUAAGGAACUCGGCAAAAUGACCCCGUAACUUCGGGAGAAGGGGUGCUCUUUAGGGUUAACGCCCAGAAGAGCCGCAGUGAAUAGGCCCAAGCGACUGUUUAUCAAAAACACAGGUCUCUGCUAAACCGUAAGGUGAUGUAUAGGGGCUGACGCCUGCCCGGUGCUGGAAGGUUAAGAGGAGUGGUUAGCUUCUGCGAAGCUACGAAUCGAAGCCCCAGUAAACGGCGGCCGUAACUAUAACGGUCCUAAGGUAGCGAAAUUCCUUGUCGGGUAAGUUCCGACCCGCACGAAAGGCGUAACGAUUUGGGCACUGUCUCAACGAGAGACUCGGUGAAAUCAUAGUACCUGUGAAGAUGCAGGUUACCCGCGACAGGACGGAAAGACCCCGUGGAGCUUUACUGUAGCCUGAUAUUGAAAUUCGGCACAGCUUGUACAGGAUAGGUAGGAGCCUUUGAAACGUGAGCGCUAGCUUACGUGGAGGCGCUGGUGGGAUACUACCCUAGCUGUGUUGGCUUUCUAACCCGCACCACUUAUCGUGGUGGGAGACAGUGUCAGGCGGGCAGUUUGACUGGGGCGGUCGCCUCCUAAAAGGUAACGGAGGCGCUCAAAGGUUCCCUCAGAAUGGUUGGAAAUCAUUCAUAGAGUGUAAAGGCAUAAGGGAGCUUGACUGCGAGACCUACAAGUCGAGCAGGGUCGAAAGACGGACUUAGUGAUCCGGUGGUUCCGCAUGGAAGGGCCAUCGCUCAACGGAUAAAAG